CUCAUAUAACACACCAACAAUUACACUUCUCGUCAGGUUAUCGUUGGGGUCCAUUGUAUAAUGUUGUUGACGAAGAAGUAGAAAACAGUCAUUUAAAUUCCUCGCUGCGUCUCCAGGAAAUUUAACCGAAGCUGUGUACAGAUUUAACUGCAAUAU